UUUCUUCAAUUGCACUUAGAUCCAGCUACCAGUAAUACUCUUCCCGCAGCUGGAAAUAUAACCCAAAAUUUGAAAAUUACUAACAGCCAACAUGGGAAGAAAUCGCUUGUCAUGCGUACAAGGAUAGCGUACAAGAUAAAUGGCAAGGAUACACUAGAGGAAGGACAAGUCAAUAAUUUUCCUCGUGAAUUGUGAAGCUCAAUGAUCAGGGGUCAUUAAGGUGAUGCACAAAACCGUUCGUUUUCCCCAGCCUUCCAUAAUUACUGGUGCAGUUUUAACGUUUCAUUCCUUCGAAUGAGGUAUGGUUGGAGCAUCUGGACCACUUUUUGGCUUAAGUUUGAAGUCGAUUCAGUGGCUUCAUUUCUUUCUACCUUUUUUUUACCUAGGUGGUUUAUGUACAUUAGUACAAAAUAUUCCUGUAUGAAUGUGAAAGUCAAAUUUUGCCUCUCAAGGCGAUGAGAGUCGUGUCAUGUUGGGUACUUGAGGUGCUUUCUUGGUAUUUUUUCGGAGGUAGUCGCUCGGUCUUGCUGUCUAAAGUUAUAGUGUUGUUGAAUGCAAUUUGGUAUCCUUUAGACGAUUGAUAUAUUUGAUUUUAUGUAACUUUCUCCCCUAAAGAUUAAUGAAAUGUAAUCUCAAAAUUGUCAGCUCUCUU